GUCAAUAACUCAGGUCUAAAGACACUGAGCUUGUAAUCAACAAAGAUUACGUGUUUGACUAGCCCCGAAGAGACUAAUCUUGAUACGCACUUCCAAAUACUUCCCCAGUUUGGAUUAUCUGCAAGACUGUUUGUUCAGUCGUUGGGUCAAGCCAAGACAUUUUAGAUUAGUUGGGCGAGGGGACUUAAACGGGUUUGCUAGUUCCU
rnacentral:ncRNA from 1 species